AACAGGAUUAGAUACCCUGGUAGUCCACGCCGUAAACGAUGAGUGCUAGGUGUUGGGGGUUUCCGCCCUCUGUGCCGAAGGUAACCCAAUAAGCACUCCGCCUGGGGAGUACGGCCGCAAGGCUGAAACUCAAAGGAAUUGACGGGGGCCCGCACAAGCGGUGGAACAUGUGGUUUAAUUCGAAGCAACGCGAAGAACCUUACCAGGUCUUGACAUCCCGCUGAUCGGUGUAGAGAUAUGCCUUUCCUUCGGGACAGCGGUGACAGGUGGUGCAUGGUUGUCGUCAGCUCGUGUCGUGAGAUGUUGGGUUCAGUCCCGCAACGAGCGCAACCCUUGUCGUCAGUUGCCAGCACGUAAAGGUGGGCACUCUGGCGAGACGGCCGGUGAAAGCCGGAGGAAGGUGGGGAUGACGUCAAAUCAUCAUGCCCCUUAUGUCCUGGGCUACACACGUGCUACAAUGGCCGAUACAACGGGUAGCGAACCCGCGAGGGGGAGCCAAUCCAAAAAACCGGUCUCAGUUCGGAUCGCAGGCUGCAACUCGCCUGCGUGAAGCUGGAAUCGCUAGUAAUCGCGGAUCAGCAUGCCGCGGUGAAUCCGUUCCCGGGCCUUGUACACACCGCCCGUCACACCACGAGAGUCUGCAACACCCGAAGUCGGUGAGGUAACCUUCGGGAACCAGCCGCCGAAGGUGGGGCAGAUGAUUGGGGUGAAGUCGUAACAAGGUAACC
rnacentral:rRNA from 1 species